rnacentral:rRNA from 1 species
AUUGAACGCUGGCGGCAGGCCUAACACAUGCAAGUCGAACGAGUGGCGGACGGGUGAGUAAUGUAUGGGACACUGCCUGAUGGAGGGGGAUAACUACUGGAAACGGUAGCUAAUAACGCAUACCAUCAGAUGUGCCCAGAUGGGAUUCGCGUGUUGGUGGGGUAACGGCUCACCAAGGCGACGAUCCCUAGCUGGUCUGCUCGGAUGACCAGCCAACCGGGAACUGGGACACGGUCCAUGCGCCGACGUGAGGCAGCAGUGGGGAAUAUUGGACAGUGGGCGCAAUCCUGAUGUAGCCAUGCCGAGUGGAUGAAGAAGGCCGUCGGGUUGUAAAGUACUUUCAGCGGGGAGGCGUUACCCGCAGAAGAAGCACCGGCUAACUCCGUGCCAGCAGCCGCGGUAAUAC